rnacentral:rRNA from 1 species
AUACGUAGGGGGCGAGCGUUGUCCGGAAUGAUUGGGCGUAAAGGGCGCGUAGGCGGCCCGGUAAGUCUGGAGUGAAAGUCCUGCUUUUAAGGUGGGAAUUGCUUUGGAUACUGUCGGGCUUGAGUGCAGGAGAGGUAAGUGGAAUUCCCAGUGUAGCGGUGAAAUGCGUAGAGAUUGGGAGGAACACCAGUGGCGAAGGCGACUUACUGGACUGUAACUGACGCUGAGGCGCGAAAGUGUGGGGAGCAAACAGGAUUAGAUACCCUGGUAGUCCACACUGUAAACGAUGUGCACCAGGUGGCGGGGGGUAGCCCUCGGUACCGAAGCCAACGCAUUAAGUGCACCGCCUGGGGAGUAUGCUCGCAAGGGUGAAACUCAAAGGAAUUGGCGGGG